rnacentral:rRNA from 1 species
UGAGGAAUAUUGGUCAAUGGGCGAGAGCCUGAACCAGCCAAGUAGCGUGCAGGACGACGGCCCUAUGGGUUGUAAACUGCUUUUAUAUGGGGAUAAAGUGAGUUACGUGUAGCUUAUUGCAGGUACCAUAUGAAUAAGGACCGGCUAAUUCCGUGCCAGCAGCCGCGGUAAUACGGAAGGUCCGGGCGUUAUCCGGAUUUAUUGGGUUUAAAGGGAGCGUAGGCCUGGUAUUAAGCGUGUUGUGAAAUGUAGGCGCCCAACGUCUGCACCGCAGCGCGAACUGGUGCCCUUGAGUACGCACGACGUUGGCGGAAUUCGCCGUGUAGCGGUGAAAUGCUUAGAUAUGGCGAAGAACUCCGAUUGCGAAGGCAGCUGACGGGAGCGCU